GCAAUGGGAAGCACUGAUAAAGUGGUAUGAGGACAAGCUCUUAAUAAACACACCACCCAUCAUGCCUAAAGUUUAUGAGGAACAUCCUAUAGCUAUUAUUGAGGUCAGUAAGGAAAGAGUUGACGAGGAGAGUGAGGACGAGGAAAAGGGUAAGAACGACGAGGUCCAAAGGGAUGAGAAGACGAAUACAGGUCAGACGGCCGGACGAGUGGAUGAGCAAAAUGCAAUAAUAGCUAACACUCUCAAAUCAGUACAAGACAGACUUGAACAAGUAUGUGCAAAACUGGAUUCGGUCACCAAUGUACUUCUAAAAAUAACUAAAUUACAAACUAACACGGGUACAUUUUUAAUGGAAGCGAUAAAAGAAGUUAAAAAGG